UACGUAGGUGGCAAGCGUUGUCCGGAUUUAUUGGGUUUAAAGGGUGCGUAGGCGGUCCUAUAAGUCAGUGCUGAAAUAUCCCGGCUUAACCGGGAGGGUGGCAUUGAUACUGCAGGACUUGAGUAAAGUUGAGGUAGGCGGAAUUGACGGUGUAGCGGUGAAAUGCUUAGAUAUCGUCAAGAACACCGAUAGUGAAGACAGCUUACUAAACUUUAACUGACGCUGAGGCACGAAAAGUGUGGGGAUCAAACAGGG
rnacentral:rRNA from 1 species